rnacentral:rRNA from 1 species
ACGCUCGACACCUACGGAAGGCAGCAGUUGGGAAUAUUGGACAAUGGAGGAAACUCUGAUCCAGUGACGCCGCGUGAAGGAAGAAGGUCUUCGGAUUGUAAACUUAUUUUGUCAGGGAAGAAAAAAUGACUGUACCUGAAGAAAAAGACACCGGCUAACUACGUGCCUGCACGCCGGCGGUAAUCUGAGGCGGGCGUGGCGAAGGC